GAUAUGAAUGCAUUUAUGAUUGUACUGCUUGUAAUUGUCUAACACACUUAUUGGUGAUGGAUAUAAACGCAUCAUGAUUGUAAUUUCUGAGUUACAUGUUUUAUUCAUCCCUAGCAGCAUUAUUAGAACCUGCAUCUCUUAUGCUCAUCAAAUUAAUGUGAAAUUGCCUCUGCAAGCAUGUACAGAUAAUAAUGUUUUGGUUAUCAUUUUCUAUGAAUUAUCCUUUUGAAAAAUAAAUUUU
rnacentral:misc_RNA from 1 species